GUCAGACGGGAGGAGGAAUUGUUGAUCUAAGUGCGCCAAGCAGAGACAUAAUGACUUCUCCAAGAUAAUGGAUCGUGAAGAAAACAACACUCAUCCUUCUGUUUGGAGAACCGUCAUGAUGACAUCACAAAUACGUCUUCUUUCCAUCCUCACCUGGCUGUGCGAAUCACAGGACAUGUAUGACCACAGAGACUCUCACAAUACUUUGGCACAUAUUAUUAGGAGAAGUGUACCCAGCCUCGGAGGGAGAGG